rnacentral:rRNA from 1 species
GACGAACGCUGGCGGCGUGCUUAACACAUGCAAGUCGAACGGAAAGGCCCUGCUUUUGUGGGGUGCUCGAGUGGCGAACGGGUGAGUAACACGUGAGUAACCUGCCCUUGACUUUGGGAUAACUUCAGGAAACUGGGGCUAAUACCGGAUAGGAGCUCCUGCUGCAUGGUGGGGGUUGGAAAGUUUCGGCGGUUGGGGAUGGACUCGCGGCUUAUCAGCUUGUUGGUGGGGUAGUGGCUUACCAAGGCUUUGACGGGUAGCCGGCCUGAGAGGGGGACCGGCCACAUGGGGACUGAGAGACGGAGCAGACUGCUACGGGAGGCAGCAGGGGGGAAUAUUGCACAAUGGGCGGAAGCCGGAUGCAGAAACGCCGCGUGCGGGAUGACGGCCUUCGGGGUGUAAACCGCUUUCGCCUGUUACGAAGCGUGAGUGACGGUAAUGGGUAAAGAAGCACCGGCUAACUACGUG